UUGCAUGAUGAGAGAACCUUAAUUAGCUCUAGAUCAGAAGCCGCAACUUUGCGGUGGUGACUGAUUCACUUGCAUGUAUUAUCUGACCC
rnacentral:snoRNA from 1 species